GAUGAACGCUGGCGGCGUGCUUAACACAUGCAAGUCGAACGGUGAACACGGAGCUUGCUCUGUGGGAUCAGUGGCGAACGGGUGAGUAACACGUGAGCAACCUGCCCCUGACUCUGGGAUAAGCGCUGGAAACGGCGUCUAAUACUGGAUAUGUGACGUGACCGCAUGGUCUGCGUUUGGAAAGAUUUUUCGGUUGGGGAUGGGCUCGCGGCCUAUCAGCUUGUUGGUGAGGUAAUGGCUCACCAAGGCGUCGACGGGUAGCCGGCCUGAGAGGGUGACCGGCCACACUGGGAUUGAGACACGGCCCAGACUCCUACGGGAGGCAGCAGUGGGGAAUAUUGCACAAUGGGCGAAAGCCUGAUGCAGCAACGCCGCGUGAGUGAUGACGGCCUUCGGGUUGUAAACCUUUUUUAGCAGGGAAGAAGCGAAAGUGACGGUACCUGCAGAAAAAGCGCCGGCUAACUACGUG
rnacentral:rRNA from 1 species